AUGCAAGUCGAACGCGGAGAUACUUUCGGGUAUUGAAGCGUGGCGGACGGGUGAGUAACACGUAGGAAAUCUGCCCUAAAGUGGGGGAUAAAGUCGGGAAGCUGAUGGUAAUACCCCAUAACUCUUAGGUUGAAAUACUUAAGAUUAAAGUUUUAGCGCUUUAGGAUGAGCCUGCGCCUGAUUAGGUUGUUGGUAGGGUAACGGCCUACCAAGCCGACGAUCAGUAGCUGGUCUGAGAGGAUGAUCAGCCACAAUGGGACUGAGACACGGCCCAUACUCC
rnacentral:rRNA from 1 species